UGGGGCAUGGCUCAGUGGUGGAGCACUUGCCUAGCAUGUAUGAGGCUCUGGGUUCCAUCCCCAGUGCUGAAA
rnacentral:tRNA from 2 species